UGGUUCUGGCAUCGAUGAAGAACGCAGCGAAAUGCGAUAAGUAAUGUGAAUUGCAGAAUUCAGUGAAUCAUCGAAUCUUUGAACGCACAUUGCGCCCUUUGGCAUUCCGAAGGGCAUGCCCGUUCGAGCGUCAUUACACCACUCAAGCCUGGCUUGGUAUUGGGCGACGGGACUUCCCCGCGCCUCCAUGUCCUCUCGGCUGGACGGUUGGAAUCUCAGCGUUGCGAAUCAAUUCGCUCAGCAUUUCCGCCGGACGCGCCGUCGAAACUUCAUCACAGGUUGACCUCGGAUCGGGUAGGGAUACCCGCUGA
rnacentral:misc_RNA from 1 species